rnacentral:rRNA from 1 species
UACGGAGGGUGCAAGCGUUAUCCGGAAUCAUUGGGUUUAAAGGGUCCGCAGGCGGAUGUAUAAGUCAGUGGUGAAAGCCUACAGCUCAACUGUAGAACUGCCAUUGAUACUGUACGUCUUGAAUUCGGUCGAAGUGGGCGGAAUAUGACAUGUAGCGGUGAAAUGCUUAGAUAUGUCAUAGAACACCGAUAGCGAAGGCAGCUUACUAGACCUGGAUUGACGCUCAGGGACGAAAGCGUGGGGAUCAAACAGGAUUAGAUACCCUGGUAGUCCACGCCGUAAACUAUCAAUACUCGUUCUCGGCGAUAUACGGUCGGGGACUAAGCGAAAGUGAUAAGUAUUGCACCUGGGGAGUACGAUCGCAAGGUUG